rnacentral:rRNA from 1 species
UGGGGAAUCUUGCACAAUGGGCGAAAGCCUGAUGCAGCGACGCCGCGUGCGGGAUGAAGGCCUUCGGGUUGUAAACCGCUUUCAGCAGGGACGAGGCCGCAAGGUGACGGUACCUGCAGAAGAAGCCCCGGCUAACUACGUGCCAGCAGCCGCGGUAAUACGUAGGGGGCUAGCGUUGUCCGGAAUCACUGGGCGUAAAGGGUUCGCAGGCGGAAAUGCAAGUCAGGUGUAAAAGGCAGUAGCUUAACUACUGUAAGCAUUUGAAACUGCAUAUCUUGAGAAGAGUAGAGGUAAGUGGAAUUUUUAGUGUAGCGGUGAAAUGCGUAGAUAUUAAAAAGAAUACCGGUGGCGAAGGCGACUUACUGGGCUCAUUCUGACGCUGAGGAACGAAAGCGUGGGUAGCAAACAGG